GCUUACGGCCAUAUCAGCCUGGGUACGCCCGAUCUCGUCUGAUCUCGGAAGCUAAGCAGGGUCGGGCCUGGUUAUUACUUGGAUGAGAGACCGCCUGGGAAUACCAGGUGCUGUAAGCA
rnacentral:rRNA from 1 species